UACAGAGGGGGCAAGCGUUGUUCGGAAUUACUGGGCGUAAAGGGCGCGUAGGCGGCCUGCUAAGUCGAACGUGAAAUCCCCGGGCUCAACCCGGGAACUGCGUCCGAUACUGGCAGGCUUGAAUCCGGGAGAGGGAUGUGGAAUUCCCGGUGUAGUGGUGAAAUGCGUAGAUAUCGGGAGGAACACCAGUGGCGAAGGCGGCCCCCUGGGCCGCUCCUGACGCUGAGACGCGAAGGCUAGGGUAGCGAACGGG
rnacentral:rRNA from 1 species